UGUGACGUUACUGACAGAAGAAGCACCGGCUAACUCCGUGCCAGCAGCCGCGGUAAUACGGAGGGUGCGAGCGUUAAUCGGAAUUACUGGGCGUAAAGCGUACGCAGGCGGUUUGUUAAGCGAGAUGUGAAAGCCCCGGGCUCAACCUGGGAACUGCAUUUCGAACUGGCAAACUAGAGUGUGAUAGAGGGUGGUAGAAUUUCAGGUGUAGCGGUGAAAUGCGUAGAGAUCUGAAGGAAUACCGAUGGCGAAGGCAGCCACCUGGGUCAACACUGACGCUCAUGUACGAAAGCGUGGGGAGCAAACGGGAUUAGAUACCCCGGUAGUCCACGCCGUAAACGAUGUCUACUAGAAGCUCGGAGCCUCGGUUCUGUUUUUCAAAGCUAACGCAUUAAGUAGACCGCCUGGGGAGUACGGCCGCAAGGUUAAAACUCAAAUGAAUUGACGGGGGCCCGCACAAGCGGUGGAGCAUGUGGUUUAAUUCGAUGCAACGCGAAGAACCUUACCUACACUUGACAUACAGAGAACUUAC
rnacentral:rRNA from 1 species